rnacentral:rRNA from 1 species
CGAAGGGGCGUAGCGUUGUUCGGAAUCACUGGGCGGUAAAGGGUAGGCGUAGGCGGGAGUCUUAAGUCAGGGGUGGAAAUACCCGACGGCUCAACCUCGGAACUGCCUUUGAUACUGGGGUCCGUUGAGUCCGGAAGAGGUGAGUGGAACUGCGAGUGUAGAGGUGAAAUUCGUAGAUAUUCGCAAGAACACCGGUGGCGAAGGCGGCUCACUGGUCCGGAACUGACGCUGAGGCACGACAGCGUGGGGAGCAAACAGGAUU